rnacentral:tRNA from 2 species
GCUGGUGUAGCUCAGGGGUAGAGCACGUCCUUGGUAAGGACGGGGUCGGAGGUUCGAUUCCUCUCACCAGCACCA